UAAUGUAAAUUAAAUAACAAAAACAUUCCACUAUCGACAUCUCCAAGCCUAUCUUCCAAUAAACCCUUUCAUCUCCCCAUAGAACUCAAAGGCAUCGACACCUCCAAAGCUCUCAAUACCUUUCACCUUGAGAAUUCCAUCUAUGGCUAACUCUAAAUCCCCAUAUCCCCAAAUCAAAUCAUUGGCCUAACCCAAUAUCCCCAAAUCUAAGUGUCGAUCAUUUUUUGUUAUUCGAAGAAGAGAAGGCAUCAAAGAGAACAAAGGAAAAAUCUAAAAGACACGAUUAAAGGUGAGAAAACUACUUCAAUCGCGAGAAAGUUUCGACCCAAAAGGCACUAUGUGAGAAACUAACUUCAGUUUUUGUUUUGUAGGAAAAUAUUGGGGAGGAGGAGGUAGGGUUUGGUGGUCGUUGAAGAAAUUAUGAGAGAUUUGGGAUCCUUUUGUUCGGUUGUUGAGCUCGAUCCUUCUCCAACAUCCUCUUCUGGCUCAGCUGUGCUACAUUUUGAGUUUCUUGACCUUAAUACACCAAAAUUGCUGUUGUUUCCAGAUCUUUCCAAUCUUUAAAUGAAGGAAGCACUGAUGACAUGUCUUAAUUAGUGAGGUUGUGAGAAUAUUUGGGGGCGGAGAUGAAGCUAGCUGCUCUGUUGACUUCUGCUGGUGUCAAUACUGCAGUGUGCGUAGUGCUGUUCUCCUUGUAUUCGGUUUUAAGGAAACAACCGAGGUUUGUAAAUGUUUACUUUGGCGCGAAGAUUGCUCAAGUACGAGCAAGACAACAGGAUGCCUUUCGCUUUGAUAGAUUUGUUCCUUAUCCAAGUUGGAUCCUUAAGGCACGGGAGACUUCUGAUGAAAAAAUAUGUGUUACUGGGGGAUUGGAUGCAGUAGUAUUUGUGCGGAUGAUUGUUUUCAGGUACAAAAAUUGCACCUGUCAUCGAGGGUGUUGUUCAGCACAUAGCAUCAAGAAGGUUGGAAAUCGGGGGUUUGGAUUUGGAAAAGUUACUAGCAGAUGAGCUUACUAAAUCAAAUCCAACAGUGAAACUCAAUAUUUCUGAUGUGGAAAAAUUGAAAGAGCGUUAUGCAUUCUGUGCUGAUGAUGAUAUUGCCUAUGAGAAGCUUCAACAAUCAUGCCUGGAAGAGAAACAUACUCUGCCGGAUGGCCAGGUAAUCACAAUUGGAAAAGAAAGAUACACAGUUGGUGAGGCAUUGUUUCAACCAUCUAUAUUGGGUAAUGAUACUCAUGGAAUAGUCGAGCAGCUUGUUCAUAGUAUUUCGUCUGUGUCGUCUGAAAAUCACCGCCAGCUGCUAGAGAACACAGUACUUUGUGGUGGCACUGCUACUAUAACCGGUGCAGCAAUUGCGGAUGAAAACAGUGACGAAGACCUUACUUGAGUGUUGUUGAUCGUUGUUAGACUUUCUAUUAUUAUUUUUAAGGAUAUAUUUUAGUUUAGAACUUUCUGUAUGCGAACUAUCUAUUUUGACUUUUGAAUUGUCGACCAAACAAUGUAUCCAUAUUUUAUUUUUAUACAUGGAUAAUGCUAGUUGGAUAUGGUGUAAA